UACCAUAAUCAACACUGAUGAAUUUGUGACCGUAUACUCUAAAUUGGAAUAUGUUAACUCUACACCUACAACUUUUAAAAAAGAUAUUUACUGCAAAGAAUCUAAACUAUGGAUGGAAGCCAUGAGGAACAAAUGGAUUUUUUAAGUAGAAUAAGACAUGGAUUCUAGUUAAUAAGCCACAAAAAAGGACCAACAAAAAUACAAACAAAACAAAAGAUUGUUGACUACAAAUGGGUCUACA
rnacentral:lncRNA from 1 species